GACUCGGUGGCGGACGGUCCGCGUCUGCGUAAACUUUGCAUAUCGCUUCCAGGAGCUGCAGAUGGCGCCUGUUCGAAUCGGGCCCGAGUCA